rnacentral:rRNA from 1 species
GACGAACGCUGGCGGCAUGCUUACCACAUGCAAGUCGAACGAGUGGCGAACGGGGGAGUAAUACGUGAGUAACCUGCCCUCUUUUUGGGAUAAACCUUUGGAACGGGGUCUAAUACCGACUAAAUGGGGUUUGGCUUGCGGCCUAUCAGCUGGUUGGUGGGGUGAUGGCCUACCAAGGCGGUGGCGGGUAGCCGGCCUGACAGGGGGACUGGAAACAUUGGGACUGACAUACGGCCCAGACUCCCACGGGAGGCAGCAGUGGGGGAGAUUGCACAAUGGGCGAACGCCUGAUGCAGCGACGUCGCGUGGGCGAUGAAGGUGUUCGGGUUGUAAAGCUCGUUCGCUAUCGAACGGGUAGGUGGAGAAGAAGCGCCGGCUAACUACGUGCCAGCAGCCGCGGUAAUUC